GCGAAAGUGGCGGAAUUGGUAGACGCACUGGAUUUAGGAUCCAGCGCACUCCGUGCGUGGGGGUUCGACUCCCCCCUUUCGCACCA
rnacentral:tRNA from 1 species